GACGAACGCUGGCGGCGUGCUUAACACAUGCAAGUCGAGCGGUAAGGCCCUUUCGGGGGUACACGAGCGGCGAACGGGUGAGUAACACGUGGGCGACCUACCCUCAGCUUCGGGAUAAGCCUGGGAAACUGGGUCUAAUACCGGAUAUGACCCUUCCCUCGCAUGGGGGUUGGUGGUAAAGUUUUUUCGGCUGGGGAUGGGCCCGCGGCCUAUCAGCUUGUUGGUGGGGUGAUGGCCUACCAAGGCGACGACGGGUAGCCGGCUGAGAGGGCGACCGGCCACACUGGGACUGAGAUACGGCCCA
rnacentral:rRNA from 1 species